CCUACGGGUGGCUGCAGUGAGGAAUAUUGGUCAAUGGACGGAAGCCUGAACCAGCCAUGCCGCGUGAAGGAUGACGGCUCCAUGAGUUGUAAACUGCUUUUGUAUGAGGGUAAAGAGCCCUACGUGUAGGGUCUUGAAAGUACAAUAAGAAUAAGGAUCGGCUAACUCCGUGCCAGCAGCCGCGGUAAUACGGAGGAUCCGAGCGUUAUCCGGAUUUAUUGGGUUUAAAGGGUGCGUAGGCGGGUUGAUAAGUUAGAGGUGAAAUGCCGGUGCUCAACACCGGGACUGCCUUUGAUACUGUUGAACUAGAGAGUAGUUGCGGUAGGCGGAAUGUAUGGUGUAGCGGUGAAAUGCUUAGAGAUCGUACAGAACACCGAUUGCGAAGGCAGCUUACCAAACUAUAACUGACGUUGAGGCACGAAAGCGUGGGUAGCGAACAGGAUUAGAUACCCCAGUAGUC
rnacentral:rRNA from 1 species